AUACCGAGGGUGCAAGCGUUAAUCGGAUUUACUGGGCGUAAAGCGCGCGUAGGCGGCUAAUUAAGUCAAAUGUGAAAUCCCCGAGCUUAACUUGGGAAUUGCAUUCGAUACUGGUUAGCUAGAGUGUGAGAGAGGAUUGUAGAAUUCCAGGUGUAGCGGUGAAAUGCGUAGAGAUCUGGAGGAAUACCGAUGGCGAAGGCAGCCAUCUGGCCUAACACUGACGCUGAGGUGCGAAAGCAUGGGGAGCAAACAGAAUUAGAUACCCGAGUAGUCC
rnacentral:rRNA from 1 species